AUGGAGCACAUCAUUACCCAGGAACGGAAGCGCUGGGCAGGCCCUCACACAUGCUGCUUACCACCACAACUAUCUCUCUGGAUCACAACUCUGCCAACCAAGGACGGCAGCAGCAGGGUUACUGGGUCCAGCAGACUCUGGCAGACAGAGACAAACACAGGAGAGAGGAACUUGAGGAAACCCAGGAUCAACUCCCAGCUGGUGGCCCAGCAGGUGGCUCAGCAGUACGCCACGCCUCCCCCACCCAAGAAGGAGAGGAAGGAGAGGCCUGAGAGGGAGCACGACCCAGACAGGGAGCUGGUGGAUGUGGAGGGGGAGCACCAUGAGGGAGUGCGUCCGGAGAGAGUAAGGCCAGAUGAAGAAGAAUCUCCCCUGGAUAACGGCAGGAAGG
rnacentral:lncRNA from 13 species